rnacentral:rRNA from 1 species
UACCACCCGAGUAGGAGGGGUGCGGGUUUGGGGGAGGGGUGAGGGGGCGUCAGGGGAGGGUUAGGGAGUGAGGGUGCGGGGGCUGGGAGCCGCGUCUGCCGCGGCAGCCACGGCUCCUUCUUCGCGUUCCACUCGGAGGGCUUCUUGCUCCUCCAGCGCCGGUCCUAGAAGCUCUUCGUGGCGAGGUACCGUCGCGUCGUCGGCCGGCCGGAGGGCCUGGUGGUCGUGGUCCGAGCGCGCGAGACGUGGCGGAUGUGGCCGCAGACGCGGCGGUUCCCUCAACCUCCAACCCAACAACUGCAGUACCUUCAGAGGAAAGUCCCAGGUCGGAACUAAACAGGGGAGGCUCUUCAUUAUGUGGUCCUCUUUGCCUUCUUGUGUGAUUUGUUUGGAAUACACGGUACCAACUUUAGUCGACGAAUACGUUAUUACUAGUGUGAGAUGUCCCUUUACCUUUCUCCCUUCCUUAAAUACUACUCCGUUCUCGAAUAACUGCGACGACUCCGGUCACCAGACAGUGUUGUACGUUAUCUGGGUUUGUUGUCAUCCUUAAGAACCUUACUACCAAUGUCAAUGUGACCUACCUUAUCGUACUUCUGCAAUUGUUUAUUCCUAAACCAACUCUUUUUCUCAUUAGGACGUUUCAUAAUGGAUUGUCUUUUUCCGUUUCUCUGUCGAGCGCUAACAGAGCGGAGCCGGAGCUAGUAGAGCCCCCUUCGCUGCGGGAGCGGGUGCUGUCUCUGUUAGCGGUCCUCGCUCCCCCUCCCGCCUCCCCGCAGACCGUGGAGCUGCACCUUCUUCGGGUACGGGAGUUACGGCACCGGCAUGUAGUAUUCGAGGAGCCAGUGGCCAGCCAGGCCCUUUUCUUGGCGCCCACCGCCAAGACGACUUUUCAGAAAUGAUCGAUACGGUGGAGUAGUUAGAUUACUUUCAAAAGACUUUCGAAUACUUCACCACGACUAUAACCUACUAGCUCUAUGAAAGCCCGGGGUAAAGUCUUCUUUUCAACAACUAUUAUAUGCGAGCGUCAAAUUAUAAGGACAUCUCUAAUUUGUGAACGGACAACCUCUACGAGAAACCUAACGAGCGGUAUUUCUUGAACUGUACCUCAUACAAGAACUAAAGUAACAACUUUCUUUUUUACACCUACUAAAUGAACCGAGUUAAUUUCUGUUGUCUAUGUUUCUAGUUUUUGAUUCUGACUUCUUUACACCCAAUUCCUUCGAUUAUAUAGAUCAACUUCCCCUACAUUUGUGACAUCUACCUAGUCUCUCGCAAUUUUGUCGGACGAAGUGAUGACUCGAAGGACUUCCUAAACUACAGGUCUCUUGGUGACCCAUACGACUGUGACUUUUAUUUAUGCUGGUGGAGUGCCCGAGAUAUUAAUUAAUAAUGUCGUGUUUGAAGAGAAAACACUUCUCCACAAGACUGGAACUCUUCCAGUGAGACUCGCUAUAUAAGCGGGAAGUCGAAUACGUCCACGGUGUUCACUGUCUUCUUCGACGAGAACGACAGUGCUCAGAGAUGGGGUGAGAAGAGAGCGAACGAUUCCGCAUGUGGUACGAACUACCGCAAUCCGCACGGGUCCUCCUCUACGACUUCUUGUUCUCGCCGUACCAGUUGCGCCCCCGAUCGUUCUUGUAAAAGUUUGAGUAGACCCGUCUUCCUACU